rnacentral:rRNA from 1 species
AGCAGCCGCGGUAAUUCCAGCUCCAAUAGCGUAUAUUAAAGUUGUUGCAGUUAAAAAGCUCGUAGUUGAAUUUCGGGGUUCUUCCGUUGGUCGGGCUAUCCAGUCUGUACUAGCGUGUAGAAUUCCUACCUUCUGGGGAACCAUCAUGUUAUUAAUUUAGCGUGGUGGGAAACCAGGACCUUUACCUUGAAAAAAUUAGAGUGUUCAAAGCAGGCUUACGUCUGAAUACAUUAGCAUGGAAUAAUAGAAUAGGACGGUGGUCCUGUUUUGUUGGUUUCUGAAUCACCGUAAUGAUUAAUAGGGAUAGUUGGGGGCAUUAGUAUUCAAUUGUCAGAGGUGAAAUUCUUGGAUUUAUUGAAGACUAACUUCUGCGAAAGCAUUUGCCAAGGAUGUUUUCAUUAAUCAAGAACGAAAGUUAGGGGAUCGAAGACGGUCAGAUACCGUCGUAGUCUUAACCAUAAACUAUGCCGACUAGGGAUCGGACGAUGUUAAAUUUAUUGACUCGUUCGGCGCCUUAGGG